UUUGCCCACCCGCCAUCAUGGACACUCUGCACAUGUGCAGAAGCACUGCACGCACACAGAAGUGCUGCACACGCUCCCAAUGCAAACCAUUAGCAAAGAUAGCUGUAAUGAAAAGGGGGCCCAUCUUCCCCAGCCUGGAUCUUCGAAGGAAGAGGAAGAUAGCACACACAAACAUACAUGCACACUCCCCUCUCAAUUAAUGGUGCCUCUGGUCCCUGCUCUAAAUCGGAGAUUACAUGUAAAGAGGACAAGUCACUCACUUGGCGUUGCUUUGUAGCCAUCCUGACGUCUCUCUGCAAGGAUAAAAAUCAGUGAAAGCUCAAAAGAAGCCACCAGAGAUCAUCCAAACUCUCCCUCCGUAGGAGGAAGAACCCCAGGAGAUACUUCACAGUCACUUUGUCCCAUGAACAAAGACAGAAAGACCUUCAAAAUACAAAUGUAUCUCCUGAUUUGCCCCAAGAGAGACUUGCUGCCUCUGAGAUGGAUGGAGGGGAAUUGGGGGAAGCAGCAGCAGCAGCUGGGAGGGGAGGAAGGUUUCCAUGGAAAUCCUUCUCUGCUGCUCUUUGAUCAAAGCCUUUGAGAGGGACAAAGGAACUGGGAUGCCUCUUCCCAGGUCAGGAGAAGACAGGACUGCCUGAAUCUCAGACUCAGCUGAAUUGAGACUGGAGUCCCAGCGAGAGGCUGAGAUCUCAGAUGCUCCCCAAGAGGGCUGGGAAAACAGGACUUCUGAAGCUGAUAAGUUUCCCAAAGGGAGAGACUUGGGGGGAAUCUCCCCAUCUUCCUUCCAUCACACCCCUCCCCCCCCAGAAAAGAUACUUACUGAAGAAUACCAGGAGGAUCCCAGCAAUCACACCCAGCAGGACAAGAGCAGCCACAACGCAGCUGAUGAUGAGCCAUGGGUUGGAUUUUGAAUUGGUUGGUUCUGAAUGGAGAGAAAGAUCAGAUCAUUGAUGGAGAACCCCAAACAUGACCUAAAGAAAUGACAGCUGGAAUUUCCCCAAAUUCAAAACUCCAUGGGCUCAUUUUUGUGUCCUUCUCAAGGUAACAUGAAGACGCCUUGCUAACCGUUGUUAGAGGACGUGUCCUCAUGAUGCUGCCUCCUUCUCACACCAGCCCAGCAUGAAGGCAACUGAAUUCAUCUUUGGCUUUUCCACUCAAAAACAGCCGUUUUCAGCCUUGUUUUUUUAAUUUUUUAAAAUUUGAUUUAUAUGCCGCCCUUCUCUGGAGACUUAGGGCAGCUUACAACGCGUUAAGCAAUAGCCUUCAUACUUUUGUAUAUUUUUAUACAAAGUCAGCUUAUUGCCCCCCACAAACUGGGUCCUCAUUUAACCUACCUUAGAAAGGAUGGAAGGCUGAGUCAACCUUGAGCCUGGUGAGAUUCGAAUUUACAGUAAUUGCAGACAGCUGGUGUUAAUCACAAUGCUAUCAGUCUGCUGAGCCACCAGGCACCUUAGCAGCUUGCAAAACAAAAACUUCACCAACACAAUAAUAUAAACAAAAUUUGUUAAAACAAAAACAUUUUUGUUGUUUUUAUAGGCUGCUCCAAUAAGCCAUGACUCUGAGUGGAAAUGGGCAGAUCUGUACGCUUUUUUCUUCAGUUUGAGUGUUUGCAUUUUAUUAUUUCAGGUAAAAUAGUUCAUAUCACCUAGACUUUUUUAAAAAAAUAUACACUUUCAUUUUCCUUGGCCAGUCCAGGGAUAGCAAAAAAUUAUAAUUUGUGCUUCCAGAACUUCAGCAUGAAAAAUGGAAUAUGGUGAUAUCCGACUUCUGGAUGGUCCCACAAAUGGCAGAAAUAGAAUAACGGAGUCACAGAGUUGGAAGGGACCUUGGAGGUCUUCCAGUCCAACCCCCUGCUCAUUCCAGAGGCCCUAUACCCUUCCAGACAAGCGGCUCUCCAGUCUCUUCUGAAACGUUUCUGGUGAUGGAGUACCCACAACUUCUGAAGGGAAGCCAUUCCACUGAUGAAUUGUUCUCCCUGUCAGGAAAUUUAGUUCUAAUCUGCUUCUUUCCUGUUGCUAGUUUGGUUAUCCUGGUUAGGCCCAUAUAUAAGAGACUGUAGACUUUCUUGUAAUAGUAAUAUUUAUUUCUUUUCUUUCUCAGGAACACAAUUAGACAAGCACUAAUCUGGGAGGAGCAAGAACUUAUAUACAGAGAAGGCGGGGCUAAUGGAACACAAUUAGACAAGCACUAAUCUGGGAGGAGCAAGAACUUAUAUACAGAGAAGGCGGGGCUAAUGGUAAGUACUAACCAAUGGUAAGUGACACAAUGACAUCACACAAUGACAUAUACACAAGCACACAUAUUUACAGAUAUCAGGUUAGGUAUUUUCAUCUGUAACAUUUCCUUGUUUAGUUUCCACCCAUUGCUUCUUGUCCUGCCCUCAGGUGCUUUGGAGAAUAGCUGGACUCCCUCUUCUUUGGGGCAGCCCCUGAGAUAUUGGAACCUAUCCUGUCUCCCCUAGUCCUUCUUUUCCUUAAACUAGAAAUGCCCAAUUCCUGCAACUGCUCUUCAUAUAUUUUAGCCUCCAGGCUCCUAAUCCUCUUUCUUGCUCUUCUCUGCACUCUUUCCAGAGUCUCCACAUCUUUUCUAUAUUGUGGCAACCAAAACUGGAUGAAGAAUUCCAAGUAUGGUCUUAGCAAAGCAUCAUAAAUUGGUAUUGCUUGGGGGAGGGGGGGCAGGUUUGAGGAGGGAACUUCAAAUUUAAAUUUCUCUUGCACAAAAUCCAGGAUUCCCAUUGAAUAGCAAUCAUGCCACUUGUGAAUUGAUGCUUGCUAUAAACAACCAGAAAAAUAAAACAAAUAUUUAAAUACAUGUAAUAAAUUUUCCCUGGGAUAUCAGCAUAACAACUACAUUUGAAUAUUUCUUGUAUCGUGGUGACAAUCAUCAAUAAAAAAAUUAGAAUUUGCAUUUUGCAAAUUUGGACGUCCAGUGUAAAAAACAUUAGGGACGCUUAUGAGAGAGGGAUCUUUUCCUUGGGUUUUAUGCUGAGCCUCAGGAAUUCAUGUAUUGUAUCAUAAAAUAAUGUGCAACUUCUUUCUUAGAGCAGCAACACAGAGUGACCUUUUGACCUUUAAAGCAGGAAAUCCUGUUAGUCUCUAAUGGGAAAAAAACUCAGACUUUGGUACUUUCUUUUCUGACUCCUGAAGCAUCAGUCCAGCUACUCUCUGCAUUUCCUGAACUCAGCUGCAGUUCAUCCGUUUUAAUCAGAAUUUGCCUUCAGAAAAGGGGCUACCAGACUCCUGAUUCUUUUACUUUAAAAACCAAAUCUCUUUCUGGUGCUCAGAGGAACUGCUGCUUUUCUGUUGGGGGAAAGAAACAGGGAAGGCCUCAGAGAGGAUCUAAGGGCAUUUCAUCAGGAUCGGCCAAGUAUUGUGAUGGGAUUCUGUAGUUUCCAUCACCUGAAGCCAGUUCUAUGGUC